UACGUAGGGUGCAAGCGUUGUCCGGAAUUAUUGGGCGUAAAGAGCUCGUAGGCGGUCUGUCGCGUCGGCUGUGAAAACCCACGGCUCAACUGUGGGCUUGCAUUCGAUACGGGCAGGCUAGAGUUCGGUAGGGGAGACUGGAAUUCCUGGUGUAGCGGUGAAAUGCGCAGAUAUCAGGAGGAACACCGGUGGCGAAGGCGGGUCUCUGGGCCGAUACUGACGUGGAGG
rnacentral:rRNA from 1 species